rnacentral:rRNA from 1 species
GAAGGCCCUCUGGGUUGUAAACUUCUUUUAUCUGGGACGAAAAAAGGUUUUUCUAAAUCGUCUGACGGUACCAGAUGAAUAAGCACCGGCUAACUCCGUGCCAGCAGCCGCGGUAAUACGGAGGGUGCAAGCGUUAUCCGGAUUCACUGGGUUUAAAGGGUGCGUAGGCGGGCAGGUAAGUCAGUGGUGAAAUCUUUGGGCUUAACCCGAAAACUGCCAUUGAUACUAUCUGUCUUGAAUAUUGUGGAGGUGAGCGGAAUAUGUCAUGUAGCGGUGAAAUGCUUAGAUAUGACAUAGAACACCCAUUGCGAAGGCAGCUCACUACGCAUAUAUUGACGCUGAUGCACGAAAGCGUGGGGAUCAAACAGGAUUAGAUACCCUGGUAGUCCACGCCCUAAACGAUGGAUACUCGACAUACGCGAUACACUGUGUGUGUCUGAGCGAAAGCAUUAAGUAUCCCACCUGGGAAGUACGAUCGCAAGAUUGAAACUCAAA